rnacentral:ncRNA from 1 species
GUACGAUAAUAGCAAAACCAUUGAAAAGUGGUGACGCAAAGCUAUAGGGGCUAAGGUGAAAUAUAAAUCUAUGCCAGCCAGUUGCCGAA